AACGCACAUUGCGCCCAUUGGCAUUCCGAUGGGCAUGCCUGUUCGAGCGUCAUUAUCCUCCCUCAAACCCUGGGUUUGGUGUUGGACCCAGUUGUGCGGUGAACAACUGGUCUCAAAUACAAUGACGGCGUCCGUGGGACCCUCGGUGCAACGAGCUUUUUUUAAGAGCACGCGUCGAGUUGCAAGGACCCUCCGGGCCGGUCUACCUGCAGUGUACUUUCUCUCAGGUUGACCUCGGAUCAGGUAGGAAUACCCGCUGAACUUAA
rnacentral:misc_RNA from 1 species